rnacentral:rRNA from 1 species
AGUGAACGCUGGCGGCGUGGAUUAGGCAUGCAAGUCGAGCGAUCUCGCAAGAGAUAGCGGCAAACGGGUGAGGAAUACAUAGGUAAUCUUCCCCUAAAUCAGAAAUAGCCCUAUGAAAGUAGGGGUAAUGUCCGAUAGUAUCGUUGGAACGCAUGUUUCGAUGAUUAAAGACUGGGACCGUAAGGCCAGUCGUUUAGGGAUGAGCCGAUGUCUUAUCAGCUAGUUGGUGGGGUAACGGCUCACCAAGGCUAAGACAAGUAGCUGGUCUGAGAGGAUGGUCAGCCACACUGGGACUGAGACACUGCCCAGACUCCUACGGGAGGCUGCAGUCGAGGAUAUUUAGCAAUGGGCGAAAGCCUGACUAUGCGACGCCGCGUGAGGGAUGAAGGUUUUCGGAUCGUAAACCUCUUUUAGCAGGAAAGAAACCUUUCAAGUUAAUAGCUUGAAAGCUGACGGUACCUGCAGAAUAAGCCACGGCUAACUCCGUG